AUUGAACGCUGGCGGCAUGCCUUACACAUGCAAGUCGAACGGCAGCACGGGAGCAAUCCUGGUGGCGAGUGGCGAACGGGUGAGUAAUAUAUCGGAACGUGCCCAGUCGUGGGGAUAACGUAGCGAAAGCUACGCUAAUACCGCAUACGAUCUAUGGAUGAAAGCGGGGGAUCGCAAGACCUCGCGCGAUUGGAGCGGCCGAUAUCAGAUUAGGUAGUUGGUGAGGUAAAGGCUCACCAAGCCGACGAUCUGUAGCUGGUCUGAGAGGACGACCAGCCACACUAGGACUGAGACACGGCCCAGACUCUACGGAGGCAGCAGUGGGGAAUUUUGGACAAUGGGCGCAAGCCUGAUCCAGCAAUGCGCGUGCAGGAUGAAGG
rnacentral:rRNA from 1 species